UACGUAGGGUGCGAGCGUUGUCCGGAAUUAUUGGGCGUAGAGAGCUCGUAGGCGGUGUGUCACGUCGGCCGUGAAAACCUGCAGCUUAACUGUGGGCGUGCGGUCGAUACGGGCAUCACUGGAGUUCGGCAGGGGAGACUGGAAUUCCUGGUGUAGCGGUGAAAUGCGCAGAUAUCAGGAGGAACACCGGUGGCGAAGGCGGGUCUCUGGGCCGAUACUGACGCUGAGGAGCGAAAGCGUGGGGAGCAAACAGG
rnacentral:rRNA from 1 species